UACGUAGGGGGCAAGCGUUAUCCGGAUUUACUGGGUGUAAAGGGGGCGCAGACGGCGAUGCAAGCCAGGAGUGAAAGCCCGGGGCCCAACCCCGGGACUGCUCUUGGAACUGCGUGGCUGGAGUGCAGGAGGGGCAGGCGGAAUUCCUGGUGUAGCGGUGAAAUGCGUAGAUAUCAGGAGGAACACCGGUGGCGAAGGCGGCCUGCUGGACGGAUACUGACGCUGAGGCCCGAAAGCGUGGGGAGCGAACAGG
rnacentral:rRNA from 1 species